AUUGAACGCUGGCGGCAGGCCUAACACAUGCAAGUCGAGCGGAUGAAGGGAGCUUGCUCCUGGAUUCAGCGGCGGACGGGUGAGUAAUGCCUAGGAAUCUGCCUGGUAGUGGGGGAUAACGUCCGGAAACGGGCGCUAAUACCGCAUACGUCCUGAGGGAGAAAGUGGGGGAUCUUCGGACCUCACGCUAUCAGAUGAGCCUAGGUCGGAUUAGCUAGUUGGUGGGGUAAAGGCCUACCAAGGCGACGAUCCGUAACUGGUCUGAGAGGAUGAUCAGUCACAGUGAAAGUAGGACAGGGCCCAGACCCCUAGGGGGGGCAGCGGUGGGAAAUUUUGGAAAAGGGGGAAAAGCCUACUCCAACCAUGCCGGGGGGGUAAAAAAGUUCUUCGGAUUGUAAGGCUUUUUAGGUUGGGAGAAAGGGCAGUAAGUUAACACUUUGCUGUUUUGACGUAACCAACAAAAAAAGCACCGGCUACCUUGGG
rnacentral:rRNA from 1 species